rnacentral:rRNA from 1 species
AUGGACAAGUUCCACGACAGGCAGCACGUGCGGCUGCGGAGCGGCGUGCACGGCACGUACCUCCACGCCAACGACGACGGGCGGAGCGUCUCCCUCCGCCGGCGCCGCGCGACGCUGGAGACGGCGUGGACGGUGCACAUCUACCAAGGCACGUACCUGCUCCUCCACAGCGCCGCCUACGGCCGAUACCUUGCCGCCACGGCCACGCGGGCGCCGCUCGCGCUCGGCCACCUCGGCUUCCGCGCCGAGCUGCGGGACUACGACCAGCCGGAGGUGGAGGCCAUCAUGUGGCGGGCCGUCGAGGCGGGUUCCAGCGGGGACUUCAUGCUCCGCAACGCCGGCGGCCGCUACCUCCGCGCCAAUGGCAGGCACCUCCCCUGGAACACCCGCGUCAGCGUCGACGACGCCAACAACACCAGCACCAUGAUGUGCUGGACCCUCCAGACCGUCCCCUCCAGAAUGGAUGUGCCUAUCCCUCAUUAUCCUGUUCGCCCCCCCGGCGACUGGUUCGGGCUCAGGCCGGGGGUGUGGCGGACAAUCCGGUUCGUGCGGGCGAACGAAGAGGGGUUCUACGCCGAGGAGGAAGGCUGGGAUGCCUUCCCUUUCAGGGGGAGGUCCGUGCACCAUUUGAGGGACGAGCUGUCCACCCGCGUCAACCUGCACAUCUUCGACCUCGUCGCAUGCGUCCGAGCGGGCCGCUACGGGAGGCCGACGCCGCUCGUCGCCAACCUGCCCCAUGGCGGCUCCGGGGAAACCCUCGAGAUCGUCGUCGUCCAGUGCGGGACUCCUGUCUAUGGUAGGCUGCGAUACCCGGAUGUCCACGCAGAGUAG